rnacentral:rRNA from 1 species
AAUGAACGCUGGCGGCGUGCCUAACACAUGCAAGUCGUACGAGAAAGGGGCUUCGGCCCUGAGUAGAGUGGCGCACGGGUGAGUAACGCGUGGGUAAUCUGCCCUUGGAUUUGGAAUAACUCCGCGAAAGUGGAGCUAAUACCGGAUAGUCUGGCUUUUUAACGAAGUCGGUAAAGGAUGCCUCUGCAUAUGCAUUCGUCCGAGGAUGAGCCCGCGUCUCAUUAGCUAGUUGGUAGGGUAAUGGCCUACCAAGGCAACGAUGAGUAGCUGGUCGGAGAGGAUGAUCAGCGACACUGGAACUGAAACCCGGUCCAGACUCCUACGGGAGGCAGCAGUGGGGAAUAUUGCGCAAUGGGCGAAAGCCUGACGCAGCAACGCCGUGUGAGGGAUGAAGGCUUUCGGGUCGUAAACCUCUGUCAGAAGGGAAGAACGGGCAUUGGUCUAAUAGGCCUUUGUUUUGACGGUAUCUUCAGAGGAAGCACCGGCUAACUCCGUGCCAGCAGCCGCAGUAAUAC